rnacentral:rRNA from 1 species
GAUGAACGCUGGCGGCGUGCCUAAUACAUGCAAGUCGAGCGAAUGGAUUGAGAGCUUGCUCUUAUGAAGUUAGCGGCGGACGGGUGAGUAACAUGUGGGUAACCUGCCCAUAAGACUGGGAUAACUCCGGGAAACCGGGGCUAAUACCGGAUAACAUUUUGAACCGCAUGGUUCGAAAUUGAAAGGCGGCUUCGGCUGUCACUUACGGAUGGACCCGCGUCGCAUUAGCUAGUUGGUGAGGUAACGGCUCACCAAGGCAACGAUGCGUAGCCGACCUGAGAGGGUGAUCGGCCACACUGGGACUGAGACACGGCCCAGACUCCUACGGGAGGCAGCAGUAGGGAAUCUUCCGCAAUGGACGAAAGUCUGACGGAGCAACGCCGCGUGAGUGAUGAAGGCUUUCGGGUCGUAAAACUCUGUUGUUAGGGAAGAACAAGUGCUAGUUGAAUAAGCUGGCACCUUGACGGUACCUAACCAGAAAGCCACGGCUAACUACGUGCCAGCCGCCCGCAGUAA